rnacentral:rRNA from 1 species
AAACAGAUAGCUAAUACCGGAUAAUAACAGAUGAUGCCUAUCAACUGUUUAAAAGAUGGUUCUGCUAUCACUCUUGGAUGGACCUGCGGUGCAUUAGCUAGUUGGUAGGGUAACGGCCUACCAAGGCGAUGAUGCAUAGCCGAGUUGAGAGACUGAUCGGCCACAUUGGGACUGAGACACGGCCCAAACUCCUACGGGAGGCAGCAGCC